rnacentral:rRNA from 1 species
GAUGAACGCUGGCGGCGUGCUUAACACAUGCAAGUCGAACGAUGAAGCCCAGCUUGCUGGGUGGAUUAGUGGCGAACGGGUGAGUAACACGUGAGUAACCUGCCCUUAACUCUGGGAUAAGCCUGGGCAACUGGGUCUAAUACCGGAUAGGAGCGCCUACCGCAUGGUGGGUGUUGGAGAGAUUUAUCGGUUUUGGAUGGACUCGCGGCCUAUCAGCGUGUUGGUGAGGUAAUGGCUCACCAACGCGACGCCGGGUAGCCGGCCUGGGAGGGUGACCGGCCACACUGGGACUGAGAGACGGCCCAGACUCGUACGGGAGGCAGCAGUGGGGAAUAUUACACGAUGGGCGAGAGCCUGAUGCAGAGGCGCCGCGUGAGGGAUGACGGCCUUCGGGUGGUAAACCUCUUUCAGUAGGGAAGAAGCGAAAGUGACGGUACCUGCAGAAGAAGCACCGGCUAACUACGUG